rnacentral:rRNA from 1 species
GUGAGGAAUAUUGGUCAAUGGGAGAGAUCCUGAACCAGCCAAGCCGCGUGAGGGAAGACGGCCCUAUGGGUUGUAAACCUCUUUUGCCGGGGAGCAAGCUGUGUCACGUGUGACACAGCUGAGAGUACCCGGAGAAAAAGCAUCGGCUAACUCCGUGCCAGCAGCCGCGGUAAUACGGAGGAUGCGAGCGUUAUCCGGAUUUAUUGGGUUUAAAGGGUGCGUAGGCGGUCCGUUAAGUCAGCGGUAAAAUUGCGGGGCUCAACCCCGUCGAGCCGUUGAAACUGGCAGACUUGAGUUGGCGAGAAGUACGCGGAAUGCGCGGUGUAGCGGUGAAAUGCAUAGAUAUCGCGCAGAACUCCGAUUGCGAAGGCAGCGUACCGGCGCCAGACUGACGCUGAGGCACGAAAGCGUGGGGAUCGAACAGGA